rnacentral:sRNA from 1 species
CGAUCUGCUGCGGGCAGAUGAAAUGAAUAUGGCUGUCGAAUCCACCUGCCGUCAGCACAUGGCCUUCUCCGGCAAUGGCCUCGGUGCCGGGGCCGAUCACGAUAUCGACACCGGGCUGGGUGUCCGGGUUGCCGGCCUUGCCGAUGCCGCUGAUCACGCCGUCCUUGAGGCCGAUAUCGGCCUUGAAGAUGCCUGUCACAUCGACAACCAGCGCGUUGGUGAUCACCGUGUCGACGGCACCGUCGCGGCGGGUGGUCUGUGACUGGCCCAUUCCGUCAC